rnacentral:lncRNA from 1 species
UAGAGAAUGAGUUUGGGGAUUUGGCAUACGAGAGGCUCAGGGACAGCUUUGAGGCAGUGAAGACUUUGGGGUGUGCAAAAUAUGUCAGAAGUGUUCCUGGUUGUACAGUACCCUCUUGUAACGUUCCUCCAGAGAUUCAAGGACAGAAUGGCUUUCCUUCCUGUUUUCUAUCUCAUUUUAAUUUUUUAAAUUAGUUUUUGUCGCCAGACUAUGCUUCUUUAUAAACAUUUCAGUGCCAAAAUGGAACAAGACGUUGCCCCAGACUUCUUUAGGGUUGCCUACGUAACAGAUAUUCAGAAUUUGGUGUACAUAUAGCGCGGUUUCCUGGAGUUUGUAGAAGAGAGAGGGAGAGAGGAGGGUGGGAUUGUGACUUUACACUCCAGCUAAGUAAUCAUCUCAGACAUUCCCCCCCCCCGCCCCAUCUCAG